UUGGCUGUCAGGGUGGCGGCUGCGCUGCCCCACGUGGGUCCCGCCAGCUGCUGAUCCGAACGCCCAGCUAAGUGCCACAUGGCCCCGAGAGCGGGGCUCGCAAGGCUCCUCUGUGUUCCCGUCCUCACGGCGCAGCGCCCUCCCAGGGCUGGACGCGAAGUUCAGGGGUGCGGGUCCAGGGGCUCGGGACCAUGUGUAAAGUUCGUGCUUGGGUCCGGAGUCAGCAUCCAAACACUCCCGAAGUUUGGAAAUGCUCAGAGCCAGGGGUCUGGUGGUUUGAGACCAUCUCUAAAUUCCUCUGCUGUCUAGGAGGAAGAGGCGCUAAUUUAUUGUUACCAUCUGUGUAGCCAAAUUCCUAAGGCACCAGUUACCUUGGCAUGAAGUCCGCAUCGCCAGAAUGAUGCAGAGAAACAUCAGCUCAGAAAGGAGUCACUGUCUCGUAUGAUUGAGUAUGACAGGAGAGGCUUUCAAUGGGACCUCACAUUCCAGCGGAGUUGGAUGAAGGGCUGAAGAAUGGACCGCCUCAGAAAAACCUGUUAAACAGAGAGCUGGGGACCUGUUAAAGAACAGGUCCAGUGUGCGCAACUCCUACUCUUACCAUGUGCCUCAACCCUGACUAGGAGGGACCACCUGCGGAGGAAAGAGAGUCAUCAUUCAGUUUCCAUUGACACUCAGUCCUUGACCUCUCCGCCUGACUGUCAACAAUGGUGCCAAUAAGUGGCGGUUGCCAUGCGGACACCUAUCCAAGAGGAACAAGACUCAGACUGUCAACCUAGUUAAUGGGAAAGAUCCUUCACUGGGUAUAAAUCAAUGUAACUCCAUUUAGGUCAACAGAACUUCAGUGAUUUACACCAGCUGAGGAUCUGGCCCCAUACAUCACUUCUCUGAUUCUGCAAUUAACAGGAGCAGUACAACUUGACUGACUGUACUGUAUCCCUUUAUACAACCAAACUUGGUGC